rnacentral:rRNA from 1 species
UACGGAGGGUGCGAGCGUUGUCCGGAAUUAUUGGGCGUAAAGAGCUCGUAGGCGGUUUGUCGCGUCGACUGUGAAAACCUACAGCUUAACUGUGGGCUUGCAGUCGAUACGGGCAGACUUGAGUUCGGUAGGGGAGACUGGAAUUCCUGGUGUAGCGGUGAAAUGCGCAGAUAUCAGGAGGAACACCGGUGGCGAAGGCGGGUCUCUGGGCCGAUACUGACGCUGAGGAGCGAAAGCGUGGGGAGCGAACAGG